UUUCUUUGUUUUAUAGCCACCAUCUAUCAUGACUUUCCCUGCUACAACACCUACAGGAAUGAUGGGAUAUGGCAUGCCUCCACAGAUGCCCUCUAUGAGCAUGAUGACCCAGCCCACAAUGAUGUACACACAGCCGGUCAUGCGGCCAUCCAAUCCGUUCGGAUCAGUGUCCAGCGCACAGCCCUCCGCUGCCUCUAGCCCUUCCAGUCAGAGUCCUCUCAGAGCCCCAGGACAAGACCCCUUUGCACAGCUCUCUCUCAAGGAUUUCUUGUAGAGCUUCGUCUUUUGUCUAGAUGCAGUUUAUGUAACACAAAAUGAAGUUGCUCCCUGAUGUCAAACCUGAUGUUAAGCUCUGUCCUCUGUGCCGGGAUGCUCUUCAGAGGGCCGAUCCCACAACAUACUCGACGUCAAAGAUGUAAACCAAGUGUGUUGAAAGACUGGGAGCAUACUGCAAUCAUUUCGUAAUUUGUUUAAGAUGUCAAGUGAUGCUGCUGUUGGACCCAUAAAGGGAUUCCUCAUACAUUUUGUAAUCUGUUAAGGUAGGUAAGGGCAUUGAAAGACUUGGAUAUUUAGUGUUCUGAGAAGCUAUAGUUUGAUUUUCCCACUAUAGGUUGUUUUUUUUCCUUCGACCGGGAGCUUCUGAUGAGAGGUCUUGUGGCGAACGUCAACCUAAAUCGGAGUAUAACUCAGCAUCUGACAUAGUACGUGUUAUGAAAUAGUAACAGUAAAUUUUGUUUUACACUUUAUUUUUUAGUUUCAACUUUAAUUGUAUUCACCGGUAGACCUUUCUUGAGUGUCGUUUGUGUUUAUUUAUAAUUAAAGCCUAAAAAAUAAAACAGGAGAGUUUACGAAAUACAUCGGGGGAAAAUAUAAAUAAUAAUUCAACAUUAUUCUUGGGUGUUGGAUUGUAUAAUGAAGGUUUAGACUUUUAAAAUAGAUAUUAUGUGAAAAAUACACCUGUAAGCUAAAUGAUAGAGCACCAACUAUUCUCUAAGUUUUAUGUCUAGAACAACUUCCCGUAGAUGAAAUGUUUGCAGCCCAAGGCUAUUGGGAGGGUAAUCAUUAGUGAAUGGUUUGUUAUACUGUUUAGUCGAUACUGUGCUUAGGGGUUUUGCAAUGAGAUAUUUGUUGGAGUAGAAAAGCACUUCCUCCGUGAUUGUGAGGUGUUGCACUUGGGAAGGAAGGUGUUCUGCAUUAUGCAUGGCAUGCCAUCAUUUUCACACGGACCGUAAAGAUCUGGCUGCCCCUGAUCUGAAUGUUUCAGACUUCUCGUCAAGUUAGGCACCCUGCUCUCUAAAAGUCCAGGAACACUGAACGGGAGCUGGACGCUCCUCUAGCUAUUGGUCACGGACAGGGUUAUUGAUAUCACUGUAAAUUUGAAGUGUAAAAUAUGAGAAACGCUGACUGGGAGACGGUUCGAGCACUGUUGAUCGGUGCUUUAAUGUAUAUAUACAUAUAAUCAUGUAGGCAGUUCAUCCAGGGGUUGGCUAAGGAUGGUUUGAAAUAUGAAAGCAAUUCAAUCAAAUCGGAACUGACCUAAGUUUUACUGAAUCAUUUCUGUGUUGUCCUCACGAAUCUUUUUUUGUUUGUUUAUGUAUUUAAAAGAUGUAAGAACAAUUAGUGAACUCUUUCUUUUUCAAAUAAAGUGCAGC